rnacentral:tRNA from 1 species
GGAGAGGUGGCCGAGUGGCUGAAGGCGCACGCCUGGAAAGUGUGUAUACGGCAACGUAUCGAGGGUUCGAAUCCCUCUCUCUCCG